rnacentral:ncRNA from 1 species
AUAUAUUUGACAAUAAGAAUAUGAAAACAAUAAAUACAAAUACUUGGUGGUGGAAAACCUUACGUCAAACUUCGUGAGCUAAAGCACUAUUGGUAUAAAUAUACAAAAGGCUUGUC